rnacentral:pre_miRNA from 1 species
CUUCUACUCCCUCCGUCCGAAAAAACUUGUCCCUCAAAUGGAUGUAUCUAGCACCAACUUGGUGCUAGAUACAUCCAUUUGAGGAACAAGCUUGGGACAAGCUUUUCCGGACAGAGGGAGUAUUUA